AUCCUUAUCACUAUUCUGACUGAAGCCAGAGCAGGAUCAAAUUCCUCUUCUUAUGUAACAAACAGUCCGGUCCAGUUUCACGUUCAGCCUGCACUGCUGCAUAUAACACAGACAGACUGGAGACCAGCCUGGUAACCCGCUGGCUUCAAAGUAGACUAUUUGUAAACGUUUUUACUAGCCAGCCCCUUACAGCUCUUCUGCUUCUGGCUGCGAGGCACAGUGCCCACGUGUGUGUACAUUUCGUUGGAUCGAGCGUAGCUGGGGCUGUGGAGGCAGGGCUCCAUGUCAUCCACCAAAUGGUCCACCUCUGCUGAUUUGGCACUACCAAGGCUCCCAUCAUGCUCUUGGGCUGCUUUGAUUUUGGCCUUCUCUGUCGGGCGGCGGAUGGAGAGAUUGGUGAGGCUCCCAAACCAUUUGAAACCUGUAGAACAGGAGGUUCAGGAGACGCCCUUAUCGGCCACCGCUUCCAGCCCUCUUGUUGUCAAAUGUGAGAUCUCUUCGGCACAAAAUGGACGAACUUCAACUUAUGUUACAAACCAACAAAGACUACAGUGACUGCUCUGCCAUCUGCCUGACGGAGACCUGGCUGGAUCAAUCAGUACCCGAUCAAGCGGUAACACCUCCAGGCUUCACAUUACAUCGUGCUGAUAGAUCACCUAAACUAUCGCACAAGUCGAAAGGUGGGAUCUGCAUAAUGAUCAAUGAACGCUGGUGUGCAAAUUCUACAGAACUCGUCCAUGUAUGCUCACCUCACCUGAAACCUACAUAAAUAUGCGGACGAUACAACUAUUAUAGGACUCAUUCCCAACAACCAAGAAACUGCAUACCGUACACAGAUCAACCAGGCAGUGACCUGGUGUACAGACCAUGAUCUUUUACUUAACACAUAAAAAACAAAAGAACUUAUCAUCGAUCUGAGACGUCAGCCAUCCUCCAAAACACCUGUGCUCAUUGUUGGCGAACCCAUCUCCAUCACUGACACAUUCAAAUUUCUUGGGAUACACAUCAGUAACAAUCUUAAAUGGAAAAUCAACACAGAUAAUAUCUACAAAAAAGCUCAGCAAAGACUUUUUCAUCUUCGACAGCUUAAGAAGUUUAGAGUAAGGGCUCAUCUCCUGCUCCGCUUCUACAUGGCCAUCGUCGAAAGCAUCCUCAUCUCAUCCAUCACAGUCUGGUUUGGCAGUCUUGACUCAUUUUCCCGGAAGAAAUUACAGCGUAUCAUUAACAGAGCAUCUAAAGUUAACAGUUCACCCUUACCAUCCCUUGAAUCACUCUAUCACAAACGGACACUAUGCAGAGCCCACAAGAUAAUUUCUGAUACUUCCCAUCCUGCACACUUCGCCUUCAAACUACUACCCUCUAGGAGGCGUUACAGGACAAUAGCCUGCAGAACAACUCGCUUUAAAAACAGUUUUAUUCCAAAAGCGAUACACAGUCUGAACUCUGAUCUCUGAACGCUGAGGACAGUGGAUUAAGCAUGACCCCUCAUGUAUUAUGUAUUAUAUAUAGUAAUGUGGUGUCUGUAUGUACAUGUAUGUUACUUUAUAUGUUAAUGUCUAAAUAUCUAUUGUUUAAAUGUUGGAACCUGUAUCAAAAAGCUGUACUGGAAACCAGCCUGGCCGUGUGGUCAUUAAAUUAAAUCAAUCAAUCAA